UCCUCCCUCUGGCGGCGUGCUUAACACAUGCAAGUCGAACGGAAAGGCCCUGCUUUUGUGGGGUGCUCGAGUGGCGAACGGGGGAGUAACACGUGAGUAACCUGCCCUUGACUUUGGGAUAACUUCAGGAAACUGGGGCUAAUACCGGAUAUGAGCUCCUGCUGCAUGGUGGUGGUUGGAAAGUUUCGGCGGUUGGGUAUGGACUCGCGGCUUAUCAGCUUGUUGGUGGGGUAGUGGCUUACCAAGGCUUUGACGGGUAGCCGGCCUGAGAGGGUGACCGGCCACAUUGGGACUGAGAUACGGCCCAGACUCCUACGGGAGGCAGCAGUGGGGAAUAUUGCACAAUGGGCGGAAGCCUGAUGCAGCAACGCCGCGUGCGGGAUGACGGCCUUCGGGUUGUAAACCGCUUUCGCCUGUGACGAAGCGUGAGUGACGGUAAUGGGUAAAGAAGCACCGGCUAACUACGUG
rnacentral:rRNA from 1 species